UUUUUUGGGGUUUGGGGUCUUUGCUGCUCGCGCAGGCCCUCCUCCCCUCUAAUCCCCGUCGCCGCCCCUCUGCGACGUGAGCAGGCCCAGGGGAGGACGCCGGGACACCCGGAAGCCGGAAAUGCUGAGUGUGCGGGGCCGGACGUCCCGAGACCGGAGGAGGAGCUGGUGGAACCAGCCGGAUCUGGCUGUGGCGGGACCCGGGCCUGUCCGCUGCGACUCCGGGGUCUGGGACCCGAGUUCCCCUGGAGCAGCUCGGCCCUCGGUCCUCUCGGCCGCAGGGUGGGGCUGGGCCGGCAGCUGGGACUCCGGGAGUCCUGUCCUGUCCCUGCGCAGUGACUGUCGCCCCAGAGCCCUCUCUGGGCAGCUCCGCAUCUCCCCAGAUUGUGCGGGGGCCACGGGAGGAUCAUGGGGGGAUCCCGCCUCCGGCCUGGGGAUCCUGUGGGAGGAGCCAUGGCCUGUGGGCUCCCCAGUCCCGCCUUUCCCCCCGAAGGCGGCCCCCGCUUCUCCCUGAGUCUUCCAAAAGGUGUGCGAAGCCGGGUCUCCGCGACCCGGUCCCCCAGCCUCGCUCCCCCUUGG
rnacentral:lncRNA from 1 species